GUUUGUUCAUUUAAGGCGCGAAACGACCGGGAAAUCAGCGACAUGGAGCCUAGAGCUGCGGUGCGAGAGUUCCAGGAGGCUGUGCAGGAGCUGUAUGUGGAGCUGGAGAGUCUGAAGCGCAAUGUGCAGGGCCUGACCCAGUACCAGGCACAGGUUUUCCAGGUGACUAAAGUGCUGUGCUGUUGGAUGGAGAACAUUGAAGGAUUAGCUAGACAGACAGCUGAGCUGCACAGCUCCUUGGACUCCUCCCACUGACACCUGCUCCUGAGCUACACAGCUCCUCGGACUCCUCCCGCUGACUCCUGAGCUGCACAGCUCCUCGGACUCCUCCCGCUGACUCCUGAGCUACACAGCUCCUCGGACUCCUCCCGCUGACUCCUGAGCUACACAGCUCCUCGGACUCCUCCCGCUGACUCCUGAGCUACACAGCUCCUCGGACUCCUCCCGCUGACUCCUGAGCUACACAGCUCCUCGGACUCCUCCCGCUGACUCCUGAGCUACACAGCUCCUCGGACUCCUCCCGCUGACUCCUGAGCUACACAGCUCCUCGGACUCCUCCCGCUGACUCCUGAGCUACACAGCUCCUCGGACUCCUCCCGCUGACUCCUGAGCUACACAGCUCCUCGGACUCCUCCCGCUGACUC